UCAAACUUGGUCAUUUAGAGGAAGUAAAAGUCGUAACAAGGUUUCCGUAGGUGAACCUGCGGAAGGAUCAUUAACGAAUAUCUAUGGCGUUGGUUGUAGCUGGCUCCUAGGAGCAUUUGUGCACGCCCGUCAUUCAUAUCAUCUUUCCACCUGUGAACUAUGUGUAGGCCUGGAUACCUCUCGCUUUGGAAUCGAAGCGGAUGCAAGGAUUGCUGUGUCGACAAGGCCGGCUCUCUUUGAAUUUCCAGGUUCUAUGUCUUUUUACACACCCCAUUUGAAUGAUGUAGAAUGUAGUCAAUGGGCUUUCAUGCCUAUAAAACACUAUACAACUUUCAGCAACGGAUCUCUUGGCUCUCGCAUCGAUGAAGAACGCAGC
rnacentral:misc_RNA from 1 species